ACUCAUCUCAUAUGUAUAAACUGUAAUCUAUACUAUUCUACGGUAUCUUAGUCACUUUAAUUCUGUGUAAAUAUUGCAUCACCCAUCUCAUAUGUAUAAACUGUAUUCUAUACUAUUCUACGGUAUCUUAGUCACUUUAAUUCUGUGUAAAUAUUGCAUCACCCAUCUCAUAUGUAUAUACUGUAUUCUAUACUGUGCCACUGUAUCUUAGUCCAAUGCUGCUCUGACAUAUGUAUAUAUUCUUAAUCCAUUCCUUACUUAGAUUUACGUGUAUUUUGGGGUAAAUGUUGUGAAACUGUUAGAUAUUACUUGUUAGAUAUUACUGCACUGUCGGAGUUAGAAGCACAAGCAUUUCACUACACCCGCAAUAACAUCUGCUAAACACGUGUAUGUGACCAAUACAUUGGAUUUGAAUCAUUUCACAGGUCAUUUCUAACUACUAACUAUACUAAUAACUCACCCCAGGCGUACUCCUCUAACUACUAACUACACUAGUAACUCACCCCAGGUGUACUCCUCUAACUACUAACUAUACUAGUAACCCACCCCAGGUGUACUCCUCUAACUACUAACUAUACUAGUAACUCACCCUAGGUGUACUCCUUUAACAACUAACUAUACUAGUAACUCACCCCAGGUGUACUCCUCUAACUACCUACUAACUAUACUAGUAACUCACCCCAGGUGUACUCCUAACUACUAACUAUACUAGUAACUCACCCCAGGUGUACUCCUAACUACUAACUAUACUAGUAACUCACCCCAGGUGUACUAAUCUAACUACUAACUAUACUAGAAACUCACCCCAGGUGUACACAUCUAACUGCUAAAAACCUGUUUUUGCGUUGUCAUUAUGGGGUAUUGUGUGUAGAUUGAUGAGGGAAAAAACAAUUUAAUCUGUUUUAGAAUAGGGCUGUAAUGUAACAAAAUGUGUAAAAAGUUAAGGGGUCUGAAUACUUUCCACGUACACUGUAUGUCUGAGAAAAAAAACAUGUUUCAUCCCAUAUGAUCUAGUCCACAAUAAACACUUCAACCCAUAUGAUCUAGUACACAAUAAACACUUCAACCCAUAUGAUCUAGUUCACAAUAAACACUUCAACCCAUAUGAUCUAGUACACAAUAAACACUUCAACCCAUAUGAUGUAGUCCACAAUAAACACUUCAACCCAUAUGAUCUAGUCCACAAUAAACACUUCAACCCAUAUAAUCUAGUACACAAUAAACACUUCAACCCAUAUGAUCUAGUACACAAUAAACACUUCAACCCAUACGAUCUAGUCCACAAUAAACACUUCAACCCAUAUGAUCUAGUCCACAAUAAACACUUCAACCCAUAUGAUCUAGUCCACAAUAAACACUUCAACCCAUAUGAUCUAGUACACAAUAAACACUUCAACCCAUAUUAUCUAGUACACAAACACUUCAACCCAUAUGAUCUAGUACACAAUAAACACUUCAACCCAUAUGAUCUAGUACACAAUAAACACUUCAACCCAUAUGAUCUAGUACACAAUAAACACUUCAACCCAUAUGAUCUAGUACACAAUAAACACUUCAACCCAUAUGAUCUAGUACACAAUAAACACUUCAACCCAUAUGAUCUAGUACACAAUAAACACUUCAACCCAUAUGAUCUAGUACACAAUAAACACUUCAACCCAUAUGAUCUAGUCCACAAUAAACACUUCAACCCAUAUGAUCUAGUACACAAUAAACACUUCAACCCAUAUGAUCUAGUACACAAUAAACACUUCAACCCAUAUGAUCUAGUCCACAAUAAACACUUCAACCCAUAUGAUCUAGUACACAAUAAACACUUCAACCCAUAUGAUCUAGUACACAAUAAACGUAUAAUAAAACAUAUACAAAUAUG
rnacentral:lncRNA from 1 species